GACGAACGCUGGCGGCGUGCCUAAUACAUGCAAGUAGAACGCUGAAGGAGGAGCUUGCUUCUCUGGAUGAGUUGCGAACGGGUGAGUAACGCGUAGGUAACCUGCCUGGUAGCGGGGGGUAACAAUUGGAAACGAUAGCUAAUACCGCAUAAGAGUAGAUGAUGCAUGACAUUUACUUAAAAGGUGCAAUUGCAUCACUACCAGAUGGACCUGCGUGGUCUUAGCUAGUUGGUGGGGUAACGGCUUAACAAGGCGACGAUAGAUAGCAGACCUGAGAGGGGGAUUGGCCACACUGGGACUGAGACACGGCCCAGGACCCUACGGGAGGGAGCAGUAGGGAAUCUUCGGCAAUGGACGGAAGGCUGACCGGGCAAAGCCGCGUGAGUGAAUAAGGUUCUCGGAUCGGAAAGCUUUGGUGUAAGAGAAGAACGAGUUGGGGAGUGGACAGUUCACACUGUGACGGUAUCUUACCAGAAAGGGACGGCUAACUACGUG
rnacentral:rRNA from 1 species